AAUAGAUGACGUCAUUGACUUUUUAUCACAUGUUUGACCAUUCGUCUUAUUCAAAAAUUUUACGUAAUUAUAAUUUAUUUUGUUGUGAGUUAUUUUAUCACUCAAAAUACUUUAAGCAUGAUUUAUAUCUAUAUAUUUACAUAAAUUUUUUUUGAAUAAGAUGAAUGGUCAAACAUAUGUUCAAAAGUCAACGGCGUUAUCUAUU
rnacentral:pre_miRNA from 1 species